UUAACUCAUAUUUGUAUGGAAUAGGAUCGUUUGCGUACUUUUGCCGCUAGGGGCGCUGUUCCAACUGCAUACAAAAUUGAGUUA
rnacentral:pre_miRNA from 1 species